CUUCACGUGUCCUUAAACUUUGUCGGGGAUAAGUAAUUGACACCAUUCAUCGAUAAAUAUCCACUCACAAGUCGUACUGUUGCUAAUGGAUCCCACAUAUUAAAUUCGUAUUAGCCAUCGCAGCCGACGCGAGACUUAACUCCGUCAGAACUCCGUUAGACUAUAGCGUUUGCAAAUGCCCUCAUUUACGCCCUUUAAUAACGAAUAUCCUAACCACCACUAAACGAAUUACCUCAGAAGGGUAAAUUAGUAUUUAACAGAAACUCUUGGGACCCGAAUGAAUUAAAUGGGUUAACGCCUUUAUGUAAUGUCGCCGUCAACUUACAACAGUUU